rnacentral:ncRNA from 1 species
AAUAAGACGUUGAAGAGGACCAGUAGGUGAUGAUGUAUCCCAGAGAGAAGGCCGUUUGCUGGAAGGCCUUUAUACCUCUCAUAACCCAACCUACCUCGGAGUCCCGCAGCAAACUGCGGCGCAGUUCCUGCGUUAACGGAUAAAAAAGUGAGUCAUGGUAUUGUUCAUGGCUAAAUUGGGUGGCACCGCCGAGCUAUUCGGUCCCUUUU